CUGUAUAAAUACUCAGAGGAACGCCGCGAAAUUACCGUUCUCAACAUGGCCACGGCGAUUUACAUGGUCCUGAUAGUUGCUGUAGUAGCAGUUGCAUCCGGCUCUGACCACCCUUGGCAAGGAGGCAAGCACUCGAACUGUGAUUUGAAAAAUGUCGUGGAUGUAUGUGGCCCCAGCACUGGAACAUAUUGGACUGAGCUUUACAUAUACCAACGACCCCGGGGUUGCGUAAAAACGCCAGUGUGCCCAGCCUUGCUGGCGUUUGCUUUCAAAAGUCCCACAGAUUGCAACAAGGCACAUAAACGUUGCGAGAAAAUUGAGAGCUGUCUGAGACAGCUUGAACGGCGCGACUAAGCAUAGACGACGAUGGAUGAUCAUGCCGCGCCGUGCUUUACGAGCUGAACAGU